UCCCUCCUACUCAGUUCAGACAAAACGAAACUGAUCUCAGAGAGCUGCUCUCUCUCCGUCUAGAAGGGCAGGAAAAUGGCCAGUAUUUCAGUAGAACAAGACCAGUUCAGCUGUCCAGUCUGUCUGGAUCUGCUGAAGGAUCCAGUGACCAUCCACUGUGGACACAGUUUCUGUAAGGUGUGUAUUAAUGGCUGCUGGGAUCAGGAGGAUCAGAGGGGGGUCUACAGCUGCCCCCAGUGCAGAGAGACUUUUGCUCCAAGGCCUGUUCUACGCAGAAACAACAUGCUGGCUGAAGUGGUGGAGAAACUGAAGAAGACAGAACUCCGAGCUGCUCCUCCUGCUCCCCGUUACGCUGGACCUGGAGAUGUGGAGUGUGAUUUCUGCACUGGGAGAAAACUCAAAGCCAUCAAGUCCUGUCUGACGUGUCUGGCCUCCUUUUGUGAAACUCAUCUUAAACCUCACUGUGAAGUUCCUGCAUUGAAAAAGCACAAGCUGGUCAAAGCCUCCUCACAGCUACAGGAGAAGAUCUGCUCUCAGCACGACAAACUGAUCGAGAUCUACUGUCGUACUGACCAAAGCUGCAUCUGCUAUUUGUGUACAAUGGAUAAACACAAAGGUCACGAUACAGUCCCAGCUGCAACUGAGAGAACCGAGAAACAGAAUCAGCUGAAGGAGAUUCAGAGUAAAUUCCAGCAGAGAAUCCAGGAGAAACAGAAGAAGCAGCAGGAGCUGAAACAGGCUGUGGAGACUCUUAAGCGCUGUGCUCAGUCAGCAGUGGAGGACAGUGAGAGGAUCUUUACUGAACUGAUCCGCUCCAUUGAGAAAAAGCGCUCUGAGGUAGCAGAGCUGAUCAGAGCUCAGGAGGAGGCUGAACUGAAUGGAGCUGAAGAACUCCUGGAGAAACUGGAGCAGGAGAUCGCUGAUCUAAAGAGGAGACACACUGAGCUGGAGCAGCUUUCACACACAGAGGAUCACAUCCAUUUCCUCCAGAGUUUCCAGUCUCUCUGUGUCUCUUCUGGAUCUGAGGACUCACCCAGCAUCACUGUCCAUCAACACCUCUCAUUUGAUGGAGUGAGGAGAUCUCUCUCUGAGCUGAAGGAGCGACUAGAGGAGUUCUGCAGAGAGGAGUUCAGUAAAAUCCCUCCACAUGCUGCAGCAGUUCAGAUUUUAUCCUCAGAACCAAAAACCAGAGAAGAUUUUCUGCAGUAUUUCUGUCAACUGACUCUGGAUCCCAACACAGCAAAUCAUUACCUCAUUCUGUCUGAGAAGAACAGAGUGGUGACAUUGAAUGAUAAAGUCCAGUCAUACUCUGACCAUCCAGAGAGAUUUAACUGCAGGUCUCAGGUGUUGUGUGAGGAGAGUGUGAGUGGACGCUGUUACUGGGAGGUUGAGUGGAGCAGUGAGAGAGGAUUUGUGUUUAUAUCAGUCUCAUAUAAAGGGAUCAGCAGGAAAGGUUGGGGUUAUGAUUGUUUGUUUGGACGCAACAGUCAGUCCUGGAGUCUGCAGUGUUCUUCCUCUCUCAUUUUCUGGCACAACAACAUUCAGACUGAGAUCUCAGGACCAUCAUCCUCCAGAAUAGGAGUGUAUGUGGAUCACAGUGCAGGAACUCUGUCCUUCUACAGCGUCUCUGGCACAAUGACCCUCCUACACACAGUCCACACCACAUUCACUCAGCCGCUCUACGCUGGGUUCUGGGUUGUUGGUGAUGGAUCAUCUGUGAGAUUAUGUGAUAAAUAAUGAUUUAUCUAUUAAAUAUGAUUGUUACUUUAUAGAUACACUCAAAAUAUUAUUUACACUGUUUGUUUAAUGAACUGUGUUAUUUUUUUAGACUGAUAGAAUCUUUAAUAAUCCUGGAGAAAGAGUCUCUUCAGUCCUGUUGGAAAAGCGUCUCAGGCGGCUCCUCAUGAAGCUGCUGGAGAGAAAGAUCCAGAGUGGGUUAAACUGCAUCAAGUAACAGCACUGACAGGUGACUGGGGCAGCUCUGGCAGGGCAGACAUUUGACAAACGGACCAGAUGAAAAGGCAUCGCUUUAAAGGUUACUUGGCUCUUCAGUACGACCCAUUCUACAAAGAAGGUAGGUCUUUGGAGACAGUAUAGAUCUGUGCUUGAUUGUAUACACCUGUUAGCAAUGGAUGUGACUUCAAUAGCCAAACCCACUAAUUAGAAGGGAUGUCCACAUACUUUUGGCCAUGUAGUACUUUUAUCUGGCACUCCUACCAAACUUUCAACAUUUUGAUAUUUUCCUACUAGGUCAUGCUGUAGGACGUUGCUUUUCAGGUGAUUUUUCUUUUUUCUUUUGCUCCUGUUUUAAUAUGUCUAAAUUCUGGACGUAUCACUGAAAAAUAUCAUUUGUAGAGUUGAUAGUUGUGACACUUCUCCAGUAGAUGGCAUGAGAUACCACAAUAAAAGUACUGUUGCAACAGUCAUUGUAACAUUUUACCUGGAUCUUUAAUUCUUUCUGUCUUUAUUGUUUUAUUAUUCUCUUUUUCAUUCCUUCUUUUUUCUCCUUUUUUUGGAAUAAAUGUUCAAGACUAUAAAUGUCUUGCCUUCCAAGUGUGUAUGCUUCAGAAAAGGCAAUUCUACUGAAGUUGUUCGCAAGGCAAUCACUGUAUUAUCUCUAUUAUUCUUCUUCACCAAACAGCUAUAACCAACUAACAGUAGUGAAACUAUGAAUGAAAAUUAAAAUCUACCAUAUGAAAAAAGUCACCUUCACCUUUAUUCCACAUUAAAAGUCAAACUUAAUGUGGAUCAGUUAUUUAACAUCAAGUUAACAUGUUUGCCAAAGUAAACAAAUUGUUUUGCUUUUAUGAUGGCAAACCGUGUUAAUUAUCCAAAGU